UACAGAGGGGGCAAGCGUUGUUCGGAAUUACUGGGCGUAAAGGGCGCGUAGGCGGCCUUCUAAGUCGAACGUGAAAUCCCCGGGCUCAACCCGGGAACUGCGUCCGAUACUGGAAGGCUUGAAUCCGGGAGAGGGAUGCGGAAUUCCAGGUGUAGCGGUGAAAUGCGUAGAUAUUAGGAAGAACACCGGUGGCGAAGGCGGCCCACUGGCUCGACACUGACGCUGAGGUGCGAAAGCGUGGGGAGCAAACAGG
rnacentral:rRNA from 1 species